rfam:Roseburia sp. 40_7 Ley3_66761_scaffold_4588, whole genome shotgun sequence.
UUCGGGAGAAAAUUAGUAAAUCUUAGUCUGGCUGUUCAUGUAUAGUGUUUUGCUGCCAUGGACGGGGCGUUUAAGACGUACACGUCACUCCAUCACAGCCUAACUCAGACAGACUUAAAUUUUCUUAUUUUCGUACAAC